GUUUCUUACAAAAACUCAACGAGUAAAGUCUUCUUAUUUGGGAUUUUACAGUGUGCGUGUCGUUUUGGCAAAGAUUUCAUUAAUAGCUUUUGCGGUUGUGAGGGCGGAGGACCAAGUGGAAAACGAGUAAGCAAUGCAUACUUGAUUUGAUAUUCAACAAAAGAUUUGGUUGCGGUUACGAAUUUUGCGGGGGAGUCUGCCACAGUGGUCACCCGCUGCGAUGGAACUACUCAGCGUGUCCGAGACAAAGCUUUGCAGAACAAAAAGUGCCUGAUGUGGCGCGACUUUUAAUGUUUCCUCAAUUUGAGUACCCAAAAAAAAAAGGUCGUUAAUUGCUGAGCCGCCCCUGCCCCUCGAUCCCCUUUUAUGGAUCCCAUAUGUAAAUAUGAUACAUUAAUUACACUUUACGAAAAUGUUGGCAUAUUUAUUGCCACAUCAGAACAAUAACUAUUAUAAUCUUUGUAAGCUACUUUAAACGAUCCCCCAAAAACACAGUGAUUUUUCCCCGUGCCUUUUGUAACCCCACAUGUGUGCCCACAUAGCCAUCGAGAUCCAAGUCGCACCAUUUCAUUUCAUGCUCGGCUGACGCCGUCUUUUGUUUAUUUAUCAUCGCCGAGCGAAAAGUGAAACCUAACCUCACACAGUGUAUGUGCGUACAUAUAUAGAAAUGUAUAUUCAGAAAUCGGACAGAACCUAUUCCAAUACGCGAGGCCCCCAAUCAGCAGAAAACAACUGAAAAACAAACGUCAUCGAUAUGGAUGUGUAAUGGGGUUCCGCGUUAAUAAAAAUUUUACAGUGCAGAACUUUAUGCUUUAAGUCUAGACGACAGUUUUUGGAACGUGCUCAAUUAGCACACAGCCGCGGGGGGAGCGGCAACCAGGGGGGGUGAGUAGAGAAACCAGCGGGAAAAACAAAAACAGAAUUUAAAAUUAAAUUUUCGCCCUGCCUCACGACUAUAAUUCACUCAUAUUUACUACGGAAUACAGAACCCCCGGGCCCACAGAUAAACUAUGCACCGAUAUGGCUAUAUCGCUACCUCCUUCUCGCUCCUUAGAAUCUUCCGGUAUCGAGCUGUCUCACUCCCGCAGCCUUAGUCGGAACAACAAAAGUCGUGCGAAAGUUGUUAAUUUUCGCUAUAGUUUUGUUUUUCACACCAUAUCACCGCACUUGCUAUAACAGGGGGAUUGGCGCAUAUUGUCUGAGGCUUUCAAAACAAAUAUGGAGAGAUUUAAAGGUGACGACUAUCCUAUACCCUAGGUUCUGAUGAAUUAUUAUAACUUAUCUCUUAUGUAUUAUAACUUAUUAAGCAAAAAUCUAUAAUAUAUAGUUAUGAUGAUUUCACCUAGUUAAUAGAAUCACAUUGUAUCUGCGAAAUGGUACCAUAUGUAUCUAAAUACAGCAACUAAAUGUAUCUCAACGGCAUAUCCAUAAUUUACUCCGUUACAUCUCAAAUUGCCCGCUAGUCACACCCUUUGGACACCCGUUGCGUUUGGUAUGCAAAUUCAAGACGCCGACUUUGUUGCUACUUUGUUUUUAUGGUCUGUAGUUGCAAAAUGUUGUAGUUAUUCUAUUCCCGGCGUGCCUUUCGCAAUUUACUUGCAGUUGUGCGCGUUUUCGAACGUUCGGGAAAGUAUUGCGGCAUUUUUCGGAGAUGGGGUGAAAAUCCAAGCAAUCAGGGGGAGGAUGCUACGCCCACGUGAGAGUUUUGGGCCUACGAAUGGGAAAUUAUUUGCAGACAGCAAAUGAAUAAGAGAGAGAGAGAGAGAGGCAAGCAGGAAGAGCUUUCUGCAAAAAAGACGGGAAACUGGAAGAGGCGCAAAAACCAACAGACUUCCGCCUCAUCCACCCACCGAAAAUGAAUACAUAAAAUGUGUCUUAACCUUGACAUUGGACGCCAAAUACAAAAAAAAAAAAGAGGAAAACACAAAUAUGCCGGCAGACAAAACAAGUUAAAAGAGCGUAAGAGAGAGAGGGAACGAGCCGAACACAUUCAUUCAUUAAACAGAGACGGCGAAUUUAAAGGGAAAGGCAAGAACUUUUGGCUUUCCUCUUUUUAUUUUUGCUCACCUUUUUGAAUCAGCAAAGUUUGUUUAUCAUGGCAGCAACAACAAAAAUUAAAUAAAAUAAAAAUGGGCCGCGUGUGGCGCUAAAAAUAAACGCCAGUAAAUGCAAACAAAACAAGAAAUGAAAAAUGGAAAUACAAAAAACGAGAGGCGAUAAACAAUUUUAUGGACGUUUAUUUUUGAAUUAAACGCAAAUCAUCACAAAAUGCUGAUAAGCAGGAACCAAAAAGAAUGCAAGAGGCAAGAAAUUGCAUGAAAAAUACACAGAGAGUGAUCAAAAGCGAGAGAACACCGAAACUUGAAUACCCUAAGUUUAAAUAGAAGAGGAUCGGCAGAACUAUAUAUAGCUUUUAUUCAAAAACUUUUAUAGAAAGCAGAUAUUACUGUUCAUCGCUAAAAGAGCAAUUCCGCAUUUCAGGUUAAAAAAGAAACACGCAAAAAUGGCGCAAAUUUCGUGGCCUUGAAAAGUGUGCAAAAACAGAGAGAAAGAUAGAGAGCGAAAUCCAGAAGAAUGAAUGGAAUUAUGCCAUAGAAGGCAAAACAAAGUUCUCAGCUUGGAAAGAGAGUGCAAGAGAAAGAGAUGGCUAGAGGGUGAGGGGUUGGGAUUCUGAAAACCUGAAGAUCGCGUUCAAAACAACAACACAAAAA